ACCUACGGGGCGCAGCAGUAGGGAAUCUUCCACAAUGGGCGAAAGCCUGAUGGAGCAACGCCGCGUGGGUGAAGAAGGUCUUCGGAUCGUAAAACCCUGUUGUUAGAGAAGAAAGUGCGUGAGAGUAACUGUUCACGUUUCGACGGUAUCUAACCAGAAAGCCACGGCUAACUACGUGCCAGCAGCCGCGGUAAUACGUAGGUGGCAAGCGUUAUCCGGAUUUAUUGGGCGUAAGGGGACCGCAGGCGGUCUUUUAAGUCUGAUGUGAAAGCCUUCGGCUUAACCGGAGUAGUGCAUUGGAAACU
rnacentral:rRNA from 1 species